rnacentral:rRNA from 1 species
CAGUCGCCGCGGUAAUACGUAGGUGGCAAGCGUUGUCCGGAAUUAUUGGGCGUAAAGCGCGCGCAGGCGGAUAGGUCAGUCUGUCUUAAAAGUUCGGGGCUUAACCCCGUGAUGGGAUGGAAACUGCCAAUCUAGAGUAUCGGAGAGGAAAGUGGAAUUCCUAGUGUAGCGGUGAAAUGCGUAGAUAUUAGGAAGAACACCAGUGGCGAAGGCGACUUUCUGGACGAAAACUGACGCUGAGGCUCGAAAGCCAGGGGAGCGAACGGGAUUAGAUACCCGGGUAGUCCCUGUCUCUUAUACC